GAUGAACGCUGGCGGCGUGCCUAAUACAUGCAAGUCGAGCGAAUGGAUUAAGAGCUUGCUCUUAUGAAGUUAGCGGCGGACGGGUGAGUAACACGUGGGUAACCUGCCCAUAAGACUGGGAUAACUCCGGGAAACCGGGGCUAAUACCGGAUAAUAUUUUGAACUGCAUGGUUCAAAAUUGAAAGGCGGCUUGGGCUGUCAAUUAUGGAUGGACCCGCUUCGCAUUAGCUAGUUGGUGAGGUAACGGCUCACCAAGGCAACGAUGCGUAGCCGACCUGAGAGGUUGAUCGGCCACACUGGGACUGAGACACGGCCCAGACUCCUACGGGAGGCAGCAGUAGGGAAUCUUCCGCAAUGGACGAAGGUCUGACGGAGCAACGCCGCGUGAGUGAUGAAGGCUUUCGGGUCGUAAAACUCUGUUGUUAGGGAAGAACAAGUGCUAGUUGAAUAAGCUGGCACCUUGACGGUACCUAACCAGAAAGCCACGGCUAACUACGUGCCAGCAGCCGCCGUAA
rnacentral:rRNA from 1 species